rnacentral:lncRNA from 1 species
UACAAUUUGGUUCAGGCAAACUAAAGUAAGAGAAUAGAAACGAAUUUUGGGAUGUACGGAGGUACAUGUACGUACAAGUAAGGGAAGGACAUACAUACUUACAGCAGAACAAGGAUAAAACUCAAUACGGUGGGAGCAUAACAACAGCAGUAUGACCACAGGAAUAAAAAGUUUAUAUACACUAGAUUCAUAGAGGUGCUUAUAACCUGUAACACAUUUAGUUGCUAUUGUGAAAUUAAGCAAUGUCUUAUGAGUUAAGAACAUUUGAGAAUUUUUGUUUUAAGCCAUUCAUUUGAUAUAUUACGGUAAUCAUUGCCUCUGUGUUUGGGUGACAAAGCAAUUGAAAUCUAUUAAUAUAGGGCAUGGUAUGCCUUAAAACUUUUUCAGAUGCACAGGCCGCUGUUUGUCUGUAAUCUAUCUAAAUUUUGAGGUGAAAAUGCAGCCAUUUUAGCCAAAGGGUACACAUCAUGAACCUUAUAAUCAUUUCUAUAGAACUUGUCUUGAUACCCCGAGCUAUAAUAUUCGAAGAAGUAGAUGCUGACUCGGAUGCUUUUAAUACGGAUGCUAUAUGAUACGAAUUUACAAUAACACACCAGAAGUGGUAUGAUGUAAAUUAUUGGAAGAAGACUGAAGAAGAACUGACGUUGGCCGUCAAUGUUUUUCUGCUGUCAGUUUGAUCCACUUGAGCAUGCUGAACGAGUAAAGUUCCUUAUAUCCACAUUGGAAUGUGAAACAAUUAGUAUUUAAAUAACGGAAUUAAGUUUUCAAAUGAUUUUUGGCAUCAAAAUCUUCCGAUCGAUGUUUAGACAAAAACGAAUCCGGGUCCGUUCGCGCCCAUUUACAAUGCAUUUUUUUUUCUUUUAUUAAAGCCGGUCAUUUUUACCUUUACUCGUCCUUGGCGUAAGACGUUAGACAUAUAAUAUAAUUAUCGAGUAUUUUAUAUUCUUUCACCUGUGUUUUGUUUAAACAAACCAUUAUCACUUUUCAAUUAUCCGACGGCUUGGUCAAAAUGUCAACUUGUUCUCGCAUUUUAAUCAGUCAUUCCCGAUUCUUUCGAUACACUCGGGAUUUUACCACGUUUACGUACGUACAUAUAGUAAACAGGUAAAAGUAGAGCGGGGAAAUGUUCAUUCAUGAAAUAUUCAUGAAUGAAUGAAAACGCAAUCUCGCGUAGAUUUCUUGUGAUUUUCUCUACAGCGCAUGGCAGAUCCGCGAAGUAGUGUUUGUAAUACUCAUUUUUAAAAUGAAGUUAAAUUCAUCUGAAUCGUCGGUGAAUAUUCAUUUCUUUUUAUUCAAGCUGUAAUCUUUUCAGUCAAAACAGUAGUUACUCAAAAUUUUAAAAGAAUCUUCCAAGAAUCAGAACUCAAACACAAGUACUACACUAUCUCGGAGCAGAAUAUAUUGCGAUAAUCUGUCAACCGGAUGUUUGAGGCCGACGCCUAAGGAAAGUAGCAAUAGCAAGCUAUAGCAAACUUUCC